rnacentral:tRNA from 1 species
UGCUUUAUGGUGUAGUGAUUAACACGUCAGAUUUUGAUUCUGGAAUCUUAGGUUUGAAUCCUGAUAAGGCAAC